rnacentral:rRNA from 1 species
CAUUGUAGCUUGCUACAGAUGACGACCGGCGCACGGGUGAGUAACGCGUAUGCAACCUGCCUUUGACAGGGGGAUAGCCCGGAGAAAUCCGGAUUAAUAUCCCAUGGUAUUUACGAAUCGCAUGGUUUGUAAAUUAAAGAUUUAUCGGUCAAAGAUGGGCAUGCGUGACAUUAGCUAGUUGGUAAGGUAACGGCUUACCAAGGCUGCGAUGUCUAGGGGUUCUGAGAGGAUGAUCCCCCACACUGGUACUGAGACACGGACCAGACUCCUACGGGAGGCAGCAGUGAGGAAUAUUGGUCAAUGGGCGCAAGCCUGAACCAGCCAUCCCGCGUGAAGGAAGACUGCCCUAUGGGUUGUAAACUUCUUUUCUGCACCAAGAAUGGUUACUACGUGUAGUGAUUUGACGGUAGUGCAGGAAUAAGCAUCGGCUAACUCCGUGCCAGCAGCCGCGGUAAUACGGAGGAUGCAAGCGUUAUCCGGAUUCAUUGGGUUUAAAGGGUACGUAGGUGGCCAAUUAAGUCAGUGGUGAAAUCCUGCCGCUUAACGGUAGAACUGCCAUUGAAACUGGUUGGCUUGAGUACAGUUGAGGUAGGCGGAAUGUGUAGUGUAGCGGUGAAAUGCUUAGAUAUUACACAGAACCCCGAUUGCGAAGGCAGCUUACUAAACUGUAACUGACACUGAGGUACGAAAGCGUGGGGAGCGAACAGGAUUAGAUACCCUGGUAGUCCACGCUGUAAACGAUGCUCACUCGCUGUAUGCGAUACAUUGUAUGCGGCCAAGCGAAAGUCUUAAGUGAGCCACCUGGGGAGUACGUUGGCAACAGUGAAACUCAAAGGAAUUGACGGGGGCCCGCACAAGCGGAGGAACAUGUGGUUUAAUUCGAUGAUACGCGAGGAACCUUACCUGGGCUUAAAUGCAGAUUGACAGACGUCGAAAGAUGUUUUUCUUCGGACAGUUUGCAAGGGGCUGCAUGGUUGU